rnacentral:misc_RNA from 1 species
AUCAUCAAACUUUAGUUAUACUAAAGUUUGGAUCAUGUCGAGGAAGUUAUUAUGAUGAUAUUAAUACCUCCUUGGAAAUUCAUAGGUCUUCCAGUAGCUAUUGUUGGAAUGUGAUGAAAAUUACUUCAUUCAAAUAUAGUUUACUUGUGUUGUCCUUAAAUACAUAUACCUUCUUGGUAUCUUUUGA